rnacentral:tRNA from 1 species
GGGCCGGUUAGCUGGUUUGAGCGCGGUGCUGACAACAAUGACCAACACCGAGGUUGCAGGUUCGAUUCCUGCUCGGUCCC